GUGGGGAAUAUUGGACAAUGGGCGAAAGCCUGAUCCAGCCAUGCCGCGUGUGUGAAGAAGGUCUUCGGAUUGUAAAGCACUUUAAGUUGGGAGGAAGGGCAGUAAGUUAAUACCUUGCUGUUUUGACGUUACCGACAGAAUAAGCACCGGCAAACUUCGUGCCAGCAGCCGCGGUAAUACGAAGGGUGCAGGCGUUAAUCGGAAUUACUGGGCGUAAAGCGCGCGUAGGUGGUUUUGUAAGUUGGAGGUGAAAUCCCCGGGCUCAACCUGGGAACUGCCUCCCAAUCUGCAUGACUCGAGUACGGUAGAGGGUAGUGGAAGUUCCUGUGUAGCGGUGAAAUGCGUAGAUAUAGGAAGGAACGCCAGUGGCGAAGGCGACUACCUGGACUGAUACUGACACCGAGGUGCGACAACGUGGGGAGCAAACAGGAUUAGAAACCCUGGUAGUCC
rnacentral:rRNA from 1 species